rnacentral:rRNA from 1 species
UACGUAGGGUGCAAGCGUUGUCCGGAAUCACUGGGCUUAAAGGGCUCGUAGGCGGUCCAUCGCGUCGGGAGUGAAAAGCUGGGGCUCAACCCCAGUCCUGCUUCCGAUACGGGUGGACUAGAGGUAUGCAGGGGAGAACGGAAUUCCUGGUGUAGCGGUGAAAUGCGCAGAUAUCAGGAGGAACACCAAUGGCGAAGGCAGCUCACUGGGACGAUACUGACGCUGAGGCACGAAGGUCAGGGGAGCAAACGGG